ensembl:snRNA U6 U6 spliceosomal RNA
GUACUUGCUUUGGCGGUACGUGUACUAAAAUUGGAAUGACAGCAGAGAAGAUUAGCAUGGCCCCUGCACAAGGAUGACAUGUAAAUUGUGAAGCAUUCCAUAUUUUU